rnacentral:rRNA from 1 species
UACGGAGGGUGCAAACGUUGCUCGGAAUCAUUGGGCGUAAAGCGCACGUAGGCGGUCCAGCAAGUCGGGUGUGAAAGCCCUCGGCUUAACCGAGGAAGUGCAUUCGAAAACUACUGGACUUGAGUACUGAAGAGGAUCGCGGAAUUCCCGGUGUAGAGGUGAAAUUCGUAGAUAUCGGGAGGAACACCAGUGGCGAAGGCGGCGAUCUGGGCAGAUACUGACGCUGAGGUGCGAAAGCGUGGGGAGCAAACAGG